GAUGAACGUUGGCGGCGUGGAUUAGGCAUGCGAGUCGCGCGAGAAUCGUAGCAAUACGAGGAAAGCGGCGAAAGGGAGAGGAAUACGUAGAAAUCUGCCCUCGGGACUGGGAUAGCGGCGGGAAACUGCCGGUAAUACCAGAUAACGUCUUCGGACCAAAGGUGUGAUUCCGCCUGAGGAUGAGUCUACGAGCUAUUAGCUUGUUGGCGGGGUAAUGGCCCACCAAGGCGACGAUGGGUAGCAGGUGUGAGAGCACGACCUGCCUCAUUGGGACUGAGACACUGCGCAGACACCUACGGGUGGCUGCAGUCGAGAAUCUUCGGCAAUGGACGAAAGUCUGACCGAGCGACGCCGCGUGCGGGAUGAAGGCCUUCGGGUUGUAAACCGCUGUCGUAGGGAACCAAAUUCAUGGGGGUUCUCCCCUGUGAUUGAGAGAACCUAGGAGGAAGGAGAGGCUAAGCUCGUGCCAGCAGCCGCCGUAA
rnacentral:rRNA from 1 species